UGUUCUGGGCUACACACGUGCUACAAUGGCCGGUACAGACGGAGGCGAAGCCGCGAGGCGGAGCAAAUCCGAAAAAAGCCGGUCUCAGUUCGGAUUGCAGGCUGCAAUUCGCCUGCAUGAGGUCGGAAUCGCUAGUAAUCGCAGGUCAGCAUACUGCGGUGAAUACCGGUUCCCGGGCCUU
rnacentral:rRNA from 1 species